UUUAUUUUUUCUUAUCCUGCCACUUUAGCCUGGUGCCAGGAACUGUCGAGAGAACGAAACCGGGAGGAGACUUCUUAUGAAGGUAAACUAUCCAUCGACCAACAGCCCUAAUCGCUUGGGUUUCGAGUUUAGUCAAAUCGAACGUAAACUUUUUCUUUGUUCAAAAUCAAUUGUAGACGUAAACCAUGUUAUUUGGGUUAAUCAUGAUAAGAAGCAGUUGAUGAAGACGCAAUCAAAUACUACAAUGAACAUAAAUUUUCUUUUCUCUAUUUAUUAUCUGUCACUUAUUUUCAUGUAAAUUUCAUCGUUAUCAUUCGUGGUAUUAUCUAACAAUUUUUUAUGUCAUAUGUGAGAAUAGCAUUGUUAUUUAGUUUACCAAGAUGUGGCAACUCUAUAACCAUUUGCAAAAAUGGCUAAAAUGGGUAAAUUUUGCAAAUUGCCACGACCAUAUUUGACUUAUUUCAUCAUCAAAAUAGUGAAAACCAAGUUUCUGCAGUUAUUGAUGAAUAAAGGAGGAACCACAUUACUUUAAUAUUUAAUGAAAUACUUGGUGAUGAUGUUAUAUUUGUUGAUUUUGUUGCAGCUUGUUUUUGGGAACUUAAAGUACCUAAGAUCUCUGCUGCUUGUAUUCUUCCCACUUUUCUUCACGUGCAACGCUUGGAGGAAUAAAUGACGGAGUUGGCCGGAACAAGAGAAAAUAGAGAAACAUGAAUUGAAGAAACUUGAGGUUACAUCCUUAAAUGAACAAGAGAUUUCGAUUGUAAAUAAUAUAUGCCAAGUUUCUACCAAGUUUGUAUAUGGGGUUAUGUUAGUAAACACAUUAUUUUGAAUAUUGAAUGUAUUCCUUUUGGAUAAUUUGUACAUUUAUUCUGUUAUUGUUUACUUAGUUGGAUAUUUUCUUUUUCUAAUUUA